rnacentral:tRNA from 2 species
AGCCUUGUGGUGUAAUGGCAGCACACGAUACUUUGAUUAUCGUGGAGAAGGUUCGAAUCCUUCCAUGGCCG